rnacentral:rRNA from 1 species
UACAGAGGUGCCAAGCGUUAGGCGGAAUCACUGGGCUUAAAGCGCGUGUAGGCGGGUCGUUAAGUGUCCGAGUGAAAUCCCACGGCUCAACCGUGGAACUGCCGGGCAUACUGGCGAUCUUGAGGCAUUCAGGGGCGAGCGGAACAAAUGGUGGAGCGGUGAAAUGCGUAGAUAUCAUUUGGAACGCCAAUGGUGAAAACAGCCGCUGGGAAUGAUCUGACGCUGAGACGCGAAAGCCAGGGGAGCGAACGGG